rnacentral:rRNA from 1 species
AACGAACGCUGGCGGCAUGCCUAACACAUGCAAGUCGAACGAGACCUUCGGGUCUAGUGGCGCACGGGUGCGUAACGCGUGGGAACCUGCCCGUAGGUUCGGAAUAACUCCCCGAGAGGGGUGCUAAUACCGGAUAAUGUCUUCGCACCAAAGAUUUAUCGCCUUUGGGUGGGCCCGCGUUGGAUUAGCUAGUUGGUAGGGUAAAAGCAUACCAAGGCGACGAUGCAUAGCUGGUCUGAGAGGAUGAUCAGCCACACUGGGACUGAGACACGGCCCAGACUCCUACGGGAGGCAGCAGUGGGGAAUAUUGGACAAUGGGCGAAAGCCUGAUCCAGCAAUGCCGCGUGAGUGAUGAAGGCCUUAGGGUUGUAAAGCUCUUUUACCCGGGAUGAUAAUGACAGUACCGGGAGAAGAAGCUCCGGCUAACUACGUG